CAGCAGUAGGGAAUCUUCCACAAUGGGCGCAAGCCUGAUGGAGCAACACCGCGUGAGUGAAGAAGGGUUUCGGCUCGUAAAGCUCUGUUGUUAAAGAAGAACACGUAUGAGAGUAACUGUUCAUACGUUGACGGUAUUUAACCAGAAAGUCACGGCUAACUACGUGCCAGCAGCCGCGGUAAUACGUAGGUGGCAAGCGUUAUCCGGAUUUAUUGGGCGUAAAGAGAGUGCAGGCGGUUUUCUAAGUCUGAUGUGAAAGCUUCGGCUUAACCGGAGAAGUGCAUCGGAAACUGGAUAACUUGAGUGCAGAAGAGGGUAGUGGAACUCCAUGUGUAGCGGUGGAAUGCGUAGAUAUAUGGAAGAACACCAGUGGCGAAGGCGGCUACCUGGUCUGCAACUGACGCUGAGACUCGAAAGCAUGGGUAGCGAACAGGAUUAGAUACCCUGGUAG
rnacentral:rRNA from 1 species